rnacentral:rRNA from 1 species
UACAGAGGGUGCGAGCGUUGUCCGGAAUCACUGGGCGUAAAGGGUGCGUAGGCGGUUCCGCAAGUCCUGUGUGAAAUCUUCGGGCUCAACUCGAAGUCUGCACGGGAAACUGCGGGGCUUGAGUGUGGGAGAGGUGAGUGGAAUUCCCGGUGUAGCGGUGAAAUGCGUAGAUAUCGGGAGGAACAUCUGUGGCGAAAGCGGCUCACUGGACCAUAACUGACGCUGAUGCACGAAAGCUGGGGGGAGCAAACAGG